AUUGAACGCUGGCGGCAGGCUUAACACAUGCAAGUCGAGCGAGCGGCGGACGGGUGAGUAAUGUCUGGGACACUGCCUGAUGGAGGGGGAUAACUACUGGAAACGGUAGCUAAUACCGUAUCCCAUCAGAUGCCCCCAGAGGGGAUUCGCUAGUAGGUUGGGUAAUGGCGCACCUAGGCGACGAUCCCUAGCUGGUCUGAGAGGAUGACAAGCGACACUGGAAAUGAGACACGGGCCAGACUCCGAUGGGAGGCAGCAGUGGGGAAUAUGGCACAAUGGGCGCAAGCCUGAUGAAGCCAGGCCGCGUGUGUGAAGAAGGCCUUCGGGUUGUAAAGCACUUUCAGCGAGGAGGCGUUAAUCGCAGAAGAAGCACCGGCUAACUCCGUGCCAGCCGCCGCGGUAAUUC
rnacentral:rRNA from 1 species